AUUGAACGCUAGCGGGAUGCUUUACACAUGCAAGUCGAACGGCAGCGCGGACUUCGGUCUGGCGGCGAGUGGCGAACGGGUGAGUAAUGUAUCGGAACGUGCCCAGUAGCGGGGGAUAACUACGCGAAAGCGUAGCUAAUACCGCAUACGCCCUACGGGGGAAAGCAGGGGAUCGUAAGACCUUGCACUAUUGGAGCGGCCUAUAUCGGAUUAGCUAGUUGGUGAGGUAACUGCUCACCAAGGCGACGAUCCGUAGCUGGUUUGAGAGGACGACCAGCCACACUGGGACUGAGACACGGCCCAGACUCCUACGGGAGGCAGCAGUGGGGAAUUUUGGACAAUGGGGGCAACCCUGACCCAGCCAUCCCGCGUGUGCGAUGAAGGCCUUCGGGUUGUAAAGCACUUUUGGCAGGAAAGAAACGUCGCGGGCUAAUACCCCGUGGAACUGACGGUACCUGCAGAAUAAGCACCGGCUAACUACGUG
rnacentral:rRNA from 1 species